rnacentral:misc_RNA from 1 species
UAUAAGGGAAUUCUCUAAUUCCCACUAGCUAUGAGUAGAGUUACCAACUUCUAGUUUUGUUUUGUCCCCGUAACAUGUUUUUGUAGCCCUCUAGCCUGAAUAAAUAAUAAAUGGGAUCUUGACCACGCAAGAUUGUACUGUCAAGCUUUACGGGGCUAAUUUGUGGAGAAGGAUUGUCACUUGUAGGUUCAUUCUUAUUUCAGUUAAAUCCUUUUUUCCCUUAGCCAUUUAAAUAGUAAACCAAAGAAAAAAAUAGCUACAAAACGAAAAAACAAUAGCAGCAACAAUUAAAGAAAAGGAGGUUCAAGAACCCAAUGUGCAAACCAAGGAGAAGAAAUGGCCUGGACAGAGGCGCAAUAGCUUGGGAAGAUUGCUGGAGGAGUUGGCCGAAAAAAGAGCCUAGAAAUAGGUACAUGCGCUAGCUUGUGGGAAUGACGAUGAGGAUUGAAAAGACGCAUUUAACCAUGCGCGACACUGGACAGUGAUGGUUCUCCAGAGACAGACCGAUCGGCAACUGCCAUUUCUCCUUGGAGGGGUAGUGACACUAAACUCCAUUUGUGAUUGUUGCCUAGAAGCUUAUAGGGGUGUGCAAACGGUCGGUUCAGUUCCGAACCGAUAAAAUCGAAAACUGAAAAUCAAAAAUUUUAAAAACCAAACCAAAUCGAUUAAUAAGAAAAAACUAAACCGAACCAAAAUGAUAAAUAUCAGUUCGGUUCGAUUUUAAACAGAUCAAACCGAAUUUUAUAAAAUUUCAUAUUUACACUAUUAAAUCUCAAUAACAAAAACAU